rnacentral:rRNA from 1 species
AAUUGGAGGGCAAGUCUGGUGCCAGCAGCCGCGGUAAUUCCAGCUCCAAUAGCGUAUAUUAAAGUUGUUGCAGUUAAAAAGCUCGUAGUUGAAUUUCGGGAUCAGUACGCUGGUCGUGCCUCCGGUAUGUACUGGUGUCACUGAUUCCUCCCUUCUGAAGAACCAUCAUGCCAUUAAUUUGGUGUGGUGGGGAAUCAGGACUGUUACUUUGAAAAAAUUAGAGUGUUUAAAGCAGGCUCGCGCUUGAAUACAUUAGCAUGGAAUAAUGAAAUAGGACGUUUAUCCUAUUUUGUUGGUUUCUAGGAUUGACGUAAUGAUUAAUAGGGAUAGUUGGGGGCAUUAGUAUUCAAUUGUCAGAGGUGAAAUUCUUGGAUUUAUUGAAGACUAACUACUGCGAAAGCAUUUGCCAAGGAUGUUUUCAUUAAUCAAGAACGAAAGUUAGGGGAUCGAAGACGAUCAGAUACCGUCGUAGUCUUAACCAUAAACUAUGCCGACUAGGGAUCGGAUGAUGUUAAUUUUUUAAUGACUCAUUCGGCGCCUUACGGGAAACCAAAGUGU